ensembl:rRNA 5S_rRNA 5S ribosomal RNA
GUCUAUGGCCAUACCACCCUGAACGCGCCCGAUCUCGUCUGAUCUCGGAAGCUAAGCUAAGCAGGGUCGGGCCUGGUUAGUACUUGGAAAGGAGACAAAUGAGCGGUCUGCCAGCAGGAGGCC